CCGCUGAACUUAAGCAUAU
rnacentral:rRNA from 29 species